rnacentral:rRNA from 1 species
AUUGAACGCUGGCGGCAUGCUUUACACAUGCAAGUCGAACGGUAACAGGCCGCAAGGUGCUGUCGAGUGGCGAACGGGUGCGUAAUGCAUCGGAACGUGCCCAGUCGUGGGGGGUAACUACUCGAAAGAGUAGCCAAUACCGCAUACGAUCUAUGGAUGAAAGCGGGGGACCGUAAGGCCUCGCGCGAUUGGAGCGGCCGAUGUCAGAUUAGCUAGUUGGUGGGGUAAAGGCUCACCAAGCCAACGAUCUGUAGCUGGUCUGAGAGGACGACCAGCCACACUGGGACUGAGACACGGCCCAGACUCCUACGGGAGGCAGCAGUGGGGAAUUUUGGACAAAGGGCGCAAGCCUGAUCCAGCAAUGCCGCGUGCAGGAAGAAGGCCUUCGGGUUGUAAACUGCUUUUGUACGGAACGAAACGGCUCUGGUUAAUACCCGGGGCUAAUGACGGUACCGUAAGAAUAAGCACCGGCUAACUACGUG